GCUGGUGUUCUGCAGGCACUUUUGUGUCUGAAUACUUUUGUGUGUUCCUGAGGUAUCCGUGGAGAGGUACUCCAUGCCCAUCUAUUCCUCUGCCAUCUUGUUCUCUCUGGAGAGUGGCCUUUUGGGGUACAGGCCUUGAAUGGGUGUCGGAGGCUCAUGGAAACAUGUGCUUUGCUUGUCUUCAUUAAGGUCCGGAUUCCUCCACCUCUUUGCUUAGUCCGCCAGGAACAGUGCAAAUCAGUGAAUGACGUCCUAACUGUCAGACCUUUCAUACAUUGAAAAGUCGGUACAGUGAAAGAGUUGAUCCCAGACUUCUCCCAUUUUCCAUUGUUUUGUUUGUUUUUUUUUUUCAUCACAGACCUAUCGUUCAGAGGAACUGCUUGUUGGGAGCUUGUGACGCAUGUUGGCGUGCAGGCCCUUGGAAGCCCUGCACCACAGCCUGUGGCCGAGGCUUCCAGUCUCGGAAAGUUGACUGUGUCCACCCAGGGAGCUGCAAGCCGGUGACUAAGACACGCUGUGCACCAGGGAAGAAACCUGCUUCCUGGCAGCAUUGCCUGGGGCCUUCCUGUGACAGUACGUACCCCUCGCAGGAGACUGCACAGACACAACUCACUACUGUACGUUUGUAAAGCAUCUUCAUUUGUGUUCAUUAGACCGCUACAAACGAAGGUGCUGUCAGUCGUGUCAAGAAGGAUAAAACUUUGUGGGGGUCAUUAUGCUGCUGUGAAGGUAAAACAAAAAUGUAAAAGCUCCUUCUCCCCCAUGUAGCUUAUUCCAAAACAUUUGUAAUACUUCUCUAAAAGUCUCAAUUCUAGGAUCAAACUGAAGUCAAUGCAAAAUCACCACUGUUAACAUUGGAUGCUGUCAUGUCCCAUGACUGGUUUUUAAUUCUAACUCUUUUAAGUGAUAUAUUCCAGGACUAACAUAAAAUCCCAUAAGUAGCAGGCACGCCAUUGCCCUUGGGACCUCAGGAGACCCCCAGGGUCACCAGUGCACUGUCACUAGCUGCCUCUUCCUGUCGUUUGUAGACUGGCACAGAGUGGGACAUCCUGAAGACUUGGGAAACACAGCAGCUGAUGGCCUCUCUCAGUUCUAGGGUUGCAGCAGGUUGAUAAGGCAUCUAUGUUUUAGAAGCUCUGGCCACUAGUCGUUAAGAUGUUGACUCUGAUGGCAUUUCUAUGGAUUGUUACAUGUCGUCUGUGAGAGAGUCACUCUGGACAGGUUUGUAACCCUGACUGACCCGGAGGUCCUGGGGGGAAUGGCACCUUGUCCUCACUCUUAAGAGAACCUGUGGAAGGAAACACAGAGUAAACGUGGCUGCCGUUUCACAACUGUGGAAGGAAAUGUGUGACCGCAUGAGGUAUCUUAGAAUACAAAGGAGAGGGAAAGUCCACCUUGUCUACUGAUUUUGAAGUAUAUUCAAAGCAUCCUUUUAAGAGCUGUGAAUGAGACUUUUCUAAGCACUAUUCUCUUGCACACAAACAGAAAAUCAAAGUCUUAUAAGACCUAAUUUAUGCAGAAAAUAAUAUUCCUAAGGAUUUUUAUUUUGGAAAAACUGUAAGAAAGUAAUGUAACUAUGAAACAUGAUAGCUGACCAGAGUCAUUUAUAGUAAAUAACUGUUUUAGUUUGAACUGAUUUUUCAGUGAAUCCAAAGUGAAUUAGGGUUGAGCUGUAAUGUACAGUUAGGAUGAGGAGUUAGAAUUGGGGUUUGGUAAGUUUAGGGUUGGUUUUAAUUUCAGGGUUGGGUUAGUUGAGAAUGGAAGGUAAGUUGGGGUUGAGGCUGCAGUUGACUUUAUGGAUUAGGGUUAGGUCAGAGUUGGUUUGGGUUUGGGUUUGGGGUCAGUGAUGGUGUCGGGGUGAAGAUGAAGUUUGGAGUAAAUGUUAUAUGUUCUAAAGCUGAUUUGGUUAGGGGGCUCUUUCCUUCCAUCUUACCAGUUAUGGCAUUAGUUGGCACCCAGCCCCAAAUAAGUGGUCAUACGUGUUUGUUCAGGGUCACAGCUGCCUGCGGCCUGUGGCAGCAGAGUCUGCUGAGGCAGGUGUGCUGGCCCUAGCCCCUGGCCACACGUAGGUGAACAGUGCGCUCUGGCUUCGGGUGUGUCUGGACAAGCUUGCUGAGUCCCUGCCAUAUCCUGAGCACCGCAGCUCUUCUCACUGCAGCCUCACCGACACCUGGAUGAGCGCUACUGUACUGGAGGGUGUGGCGGUCGGGAGUAGGUGUGGGGAUGUGACGAGGACACGCCAGCCCCUGAGUUGUUCAUCACCAAUCACACUUGAUUGCUGGAGGUUUUUAAGUUAAAAGAGAGAGCAUUUGUACAAUACUCUUUGUAUAUAUUUUUAUAUGACUUAUAGGUGCAAUAUUUUAUUUUGUACAGUAUGUAAUAAAGAUAUGGGACAUAUAUUUUUCUUAGUAACAAAAUUUCCUAUUAAAUUUCUUCAUCUUUGUAGUUCAAGUGGCUGUUUUUCAUGUGCUGAUGUACCGUUUGUCUUUGAUAUCAUUCAAAUGACAUUGCUGUGUACUGUAUUUUACUACUGUUUCUAUCACAUAAGAGUUCUCUGUCAUGAUUCUGACUAGUAAUUCAAAAAUAAAUGUACUUUGAUUAUUCA